AGAGGAAACGGCCUCGGGCUGCGCCAGGAGAGGUUCAGGUGCCCUCUCCCCCCUCUCCAGCGAGGAUCCCCCACCGGAGCUCUUGUACUCUGAGAUCCAGAGGAGAAACUCCCCGGAGCCUCGGGACUGGCAGGACGGGCCCAGGACCAUCUACUGCGAGGUGCAGGUGAAGGUGUGACCUGGAGAGUCCCAGGUGAGUCCCAGCAGGACCCCCGGAGCAGGAUGGGACCACCGACCCCCCCGUGUGACACCGGGGCUGAUGGACACCCGAGUCCCCCUGAGGUGUCACCUCCUGUCCCCACCCGUGCUCUGGGAGCAGGGCUGGCCUGGGGGGGCUCCCACAUCCCCCCCCCCGUGUUUUGGAUGCCCCAUGACUCCAAUAAAGGCGGAGGAAGGCGA